rnacentral:rRNA from 1 species
CGAAUUGCGAUCUUUAAAGUGAAUUGCAUAAUUCAGUGAAUCAUCGACUCUUUGAACGCACCUUGCA